GCGCGCAAAUUACCCAAUCCUGACACGGGGAGGUAGUGACAAUAAAUAACAAUACCGGGCGCGUUAGUGUCUGGUAAUUGGAAUGAGUACAAUCUAAAUCCCUUAACGAGGAUCCAUAGGAGGGCAAGUCUGGUGCCAG
rnacentral:rRNA from 1 species